rnacentral:lncRNA from 1 species
ACUUCCCUCAGCCUGUAGAACUUCCGGCAGCAACUGCAAUUAGGGGUAGUCCAGUGCUAAAUUGUCGCAGCCUUGAAAAUAUUCUGCUUCGUUAUUUCGGGCACUCCACAGAUUCUGUUGCGAAGGCAGCCAUCUUUAGUUCGUCUUUCCUAGAGAGAAUUUUAUACUGAGGAGACAUCUUAUUUGUAAGUAAUCAGGGAAAAAAACCAGUCACAUGACAGCAUAUUAUUACUAAUGAUUAUUUUGGAGGACCUGUUUUUGUUUUUAAUAUAUUAUAGUACAUGUAAGUAGUUAUGCUUAAAGCCAUAAUUAAAACAAAGUUAUAAAGGAAAGAAGUAAUGAAAAAAGUAAAUAAAAUUUUUGUGGAGAAAUAAUUUAAUUUAGUUGUGAACCAUUUAUAAGAAACAGACCUCUAAUUAGUGAAAUCAUUAAACUAAAGGCCAUAAGAAAAAUUGCAAAAAAAAAAUCUUUUAUUGUUCCACUAGGAGUAAAUGUCCAGUGUAAGCUAGAGUUUAUUUAAUAUUCAUGGGGCCCUGUUGCUAUGCUAUCAGAAAAAAUGACAACAAUAAGGUUAAAAUCCUCUCAAUUUUGAUCUGAACAGUAUAUGGAAAAAUACUUUAAAACUCUAACCUUGUUAUGUAGGGUUUUCAUGCCAUUUCUCAUAAAGUGUAUAAACUGUUUAGUGAGAAUUGCUAUUCUCAGAAAAAUGUGUUGAGCUUUAACUAUAUGGAAUCUUGCUAAAUGCUGUUGUUAAUUCUAAUGUAUUACCUGUAGACUGCUUUUAGCUACUCUGGUACAUAAACAUAAAAUCUAUAAAUAAGGAUGGGUUUAUUUCUUCCUUUCCAAUCAUCAUGCAUUUUUUUUAACAUUUCCCUGAAUUAUUGCCCAGGUUAUGAACUCCAUGAAAAGCUGAAUAGAAAUGGUAAUAGUAGGCAUUCAUGUCUCAAUCCCCAUCUCAGGAUGAGGUUUUCAUUAUUACAUCACUAAUGAUGAUAUUUCCCAUAGUUUUCUGAGUCAUUUUUUAAUAAUCAUAACUGGAUGGUAAAUUUGCCAAAUGGUUUCUCUAUAUUUGUUGUGACAGUGACAUGAUUUUGGUCCGUUGUGUUGUUAAGGAGAUUAUAUUUCAAUAUGUUAAACCAAUAAUAAUUCAAAA